rnacentral:rRNA from 1 species
GAUGAACGCUGACAGAAUGCUUAACACAUGCAAGUCUACUUGAACUUCGGUUUGGGUGGCGGACGGGUGAGUAACGCGUAAAGAACUUGCCUCACAGUUAGGGACAACAUUUGGAAACGAAUGCUAAUACCUGAUAUUAUGAUUUUAGGGCAUCCUAGGAUUAUGAAAGCUAUAUGUGCUGUGAGAGAGCUUUGCGUCCCAUUAGCUAGUUGGAGAGGUAACGGCUCACCAAGGCGAUGAUGGGUAGCCGGCCUGAGAGGGUGAACGGCCACAAGGGGACUGAGACACGGCCCUUACUCCUACGGGAGGCAGCAGUGGGGAAUAUUGGACAAUGGACCAAAAGUCUGAUCCAGCAAUUCUGUGUGCACGAUGACGUUUUUCGGAAUGUAAAGUGCUUUCAGUAGGGAAGAAAAAAAUGACGGUACCAACAGAAGAAGUGACGGCUAAAUACGUG